rnacentral:lncRNA from 1 species
UCCAAGUUACAGCCCUACAUCUCCAAGUUACAGUCCAACUUCACCAAGUUACAGUCCAACAUCACCUGCUUACAGCCCGACAUCACCUGCUUACAGCCCGACUUCACCUGCAUAUAGUCCCACAUCACCUUCCUACAGCCCUACAUCGCCUUCCUAUAGCCCUACAUCACCUUCCUACAGCCCAACGUCGCCCUCCUACAGCCCCACAUCUCCAUCCUACAGCCCAACCUCACCGGCCUACAGCCCAACUUCUCCUGGUUACAGCCCAACUUCUCCUAGUUAUAGUCCAACUUCUCCCAGCUAUAGCCCUACAUCUCCAAGUUACAAUCCUCAGUCAGCCAAAUACAGUCCAUCAUCGGCAUACUCUCCAAGCAGUCCAAGAUU